GCAGUUCAAAUCUCAUGCAGGAGCCGAAAUAAAUAGCACAUUCAUGGUGAGUAAAAAAACCUGAUACCUUCGCGGCUAAUUUGAAUAACAAAGGUGUCAGUUUUUUUACUCACCCUGUACAUUGAAAUGCUAGUAAGCAGUAGAAUUAUGCAAAUUAUAUAGUGGUUGCAGGUGUUUUGAUACACCCUGUAUUGCAUGGUUUCUUACGAACGGAGCAACAACAUAUUAUCUUGAU